rnacentral:other from 1 species
GAAGCCCUGCAGUGUGCGUGGUUGUCGAGGAAGUUUUGAGCCGACACUCAAAAUUGAUGGAGUCUUGCUUGAUUUGCCCAAGUGGCAGCCCUGAGUAAUCAGGGAAUCGCGCGGGUAGACAGGAGACACCGCCCUGGUUCGCUAGGGUUCAAAAACUCGGUAGACACACGGCACAGGCGGGGCUUUU